rnacentral:rRNA from 1 species
CCUACGGGUGGCAGCAGUGAGGAAUAUUGCACAAUGGGGGAAACCCUGAUGCAGCGAAGCCGCGUGAAUGAAGAAGUAUUUCAGUAUGUAAAACUCUAUCAGCCGGGAAGAAAAUGACGGUACCUGAUUAAGACGCCCCGGCUAACUACGUAGCAGCAGCCGCGGUACUACGUAGGGGGCAAGAGUUAUCCGGAGUUACUGGGUGUAAAGGGAACGUAGACGGCAGCACAAGUCUGGAGGGAAAUGCCGGGGCUUAACCCCCGAACUGCGUUGGAAACUGUGCAGCUAGAGUGAAGGAGAGGUAAGUGGAAUGCGUAGUGUAGCGGUGAAAUGCGUAGAUAUUAGGAGGAACACCAGUGGCGAAGGCGGCUUACUGGACUGUAACUGACGUUGAGGCUCGAAAGCGUGGGGAGCAAACAGGAUUAGAUACCCGUGUAGUC